rnacentral:tRNA from 1 species
AUUUAUAUAGUUUAAAAAAAACGUUACAUUUUCAUUGUAAAAUUAGAAAGUUAUCUUAUAAAUA